rnacentral:rRNA from 1 species
UACGUAGGGUACGAGCGUUGUCCGGAAUUAUUGGGCGUAAAGAGCUCGUAGGUGGUUGGUCACGUCUGCUGUGGAAACGCAACGCUUAACGUUGCGCGGGCAGUGGGUACGGGCUGACUAGAGUGCAGUAGGGGAGUCUGGAAUUCCUGGUGUAGCGGUGAAAUGCGCAGAUAUCAGGAGGAACACCGGUGGCGAAGGCGGGACUCUGGGCUGUGACUGACACUGAGGAGCGAAAGCAUCGGGAGCGAACAGGAUUAGAUA